ensembl:lncRNA
GGCAGCACAGAGGAGACAGCAGAGAGGAGACAGCAGGCAGCAGAGAGGAGACAGGAGACCGCAGAGAGGAGACAGGAGACCGCAGAGAGGAGACAGCAGGCAGCACAGAGGAGACAGCAGGCAGCACAGAGGAGACAGGAGACAGCGGGCAGCAGAGAGGAGACAGGACACAGCACAGAGGAGACAGCAGGCAGCAGAGAAGAGACAGUAGAGGAGACAGGAGACCGCAGAGAGGAGACAGCAGGCAGCACAGAGGAGACAGCAGGCAGCACAGAGGAGACAGGAGACAGCGGGCAGCAGAGAGGAGACAGGACACAGCACAGAGGAGACAGGAGACAGCAGGCAGCAUAGAGGAGACAGCAGAGAGGAGACAGCAGGCAGCAGGCAGCAGAAACAGGAGACAGCAGGCAGCAGAGAGGAGACAGGACACAGCACAGAGGAGACAGGAGACAGCAGGCAGCAUAGAGGGGACAGGAGACAGCAGGCAGCAGAGAGGAGACAGGACACAGCACAGAGGAGACAGGAGACAGCAGGCAGCAUAGAGGAGACAGGAGACAGCACAGAGGAGACAGGAGACAGCAGGCAGCAGAAACAGGAGACAGCAGGCAGCAGAGAGGAGACAGGACACAGCACAGAGGAGACAGGAGACAGCAG